UAGGAGGUCAAGAGCACCCCAAGUUAUUGGAAAAACAGGCCUAUGAAGUAACUUGCCGGAAGUCACAUGACUGCUGCAAAACUGGAAUGCAGAUAACAGCAAUACUUCCCUGGGUUGCUGUGAGAAUCACAUAAGGAGGAAGAUGUGAAAGCACUUUGUAAAGUUCUAACCUAUGUUAUUAGUAUUACUCUGAGUCUCCGACUACCUACAGACAUGAGACUUUUUCUUUUGUCCUUAUCUUUUAGAAUAUAAAUGUUGAGUUCCUGUUAUGUACCAGGUGAGAUUAAUGUCUGCUGAUCUGAAGGACCACUGUUCAGCUAUGAAAAAGAAAUGUCUUUAUUCAGAAGCUACAGUGAUUCCCAUCAGAAUGAUGACUCUCUGAGAGGCUGUAUCAGAAUCUCUGGUAAAGGAGAAGCUAAGUUUU